rnacentral:misc_RNA from 1 species
GAUGAAGAACGUAGCGAAUUGCGAUAAGUAAUGUGAAUUGCAGAUUUUCAGUGAAUCAUCGAAUCUUUGAACGCACAUUGCGCCCCUUGGUAUUCCGAGGGGCAUGCCUGUUCGAGCGUCAUUUUGACCACUCCCGCUUGCGGGGUCUUGGGCCUUCGCCUCUGGGCGGGCCUUAAAAUCAGUGGCGGUGCCGUCCGGCUCUAAGCGUAGUAAAUCUCCUCGCUAUAGGGUUCCGGAGGGAUGCUGGCCAACAACCCCCAACUUUUAAGGUUGACCUCGGAUCAGGUAGGGAUACCCGCUGAACUUAAGCAUAUCAAUAAGCGGAGGA